rnacentral:rRNA from 1 species
AGUGAACGCUGGCGGUAGGCCUAACACAUGCAAGUCGAACGGCAGCACAGUAAGAGCUUGCUCUUACGGGUGGCGAGUGGCGGACGGGUGAGGAAUACAUCGGAAUCUACUUUUUCGUGGGGGAUAACGUAGGGAAACUUACGCUAAUACCGCAUACGACCUACGGGUGAAAGCAGGUGAUCUUCGGACCUUGCGCGAUUGAAUGAGCCGAUGUCGGAUUAGCUAGUUGGCGGGGUAAAGGCCCACCAAGGCGACGAUCCGUAGCUGGUCUGAGAGGAUGAUCAGCCACACUGGAACUGAGACACGGUCCAGACUCCUACGGGAGGCAGCAGUGGGGAAUAUUGGACAACGGGCGCAAGCCUGAUCCAGCCAUACCGCGUGGGUGAAGAAGGCCUUCGGGUUGUAAAGCCCUUUUGUUGGGAAAGAAAAGCAGCAGGUUAAUACCCCGCUGUUCUGACGGUACCCAAAGAAUAAGCACCGGCUAACUUCGUG